CCCCAUCCACCCCUUGUUUGGAGUGCAGAGUUUGGCUUUGGUUCUUUGCCUUGCCUAGAGUAUACUUCUAAUUCCUGCUGUCCUGCACAAGCUGAAUCUCCAGCUACCCACCGCCACCCAGGCCUACAGUGGGUCAAGCAGGUGAGAAAGUCAAGAGAAGAGGCCUUCUUGAGUUCAAUUCAACAUACUGAAAGGACAUCAAGUUAUUCCCGUUUGUCUUUUAAGCUCAAGCAUCACCUGUCGUGCAACCGCCACUACCUUAGUUCAAUAAAUUUUCAUCAUUUGCCUGGAUUACUGAAGAAGCCUAAAUGAUCUAUCUCGUUUGACCGCCACCAAUUCCUCCUCCAAAAUGCUGCCAGAGGCCAAAGCCCCAAACUGGACUUCGAAAGCACAAAUGACUCCUCCUCCAAUGUUUGGAUAAAAUUCAAAUUGCUGAGUUCAACACACACAAGGCCCGCGAUGAUCCAGCUUCCACAUCAUCUCUUUCCUCCACACUUACCUCCCUUGACUUGCUCUUCCUGAAACCAUUCAUGCUGACUGGUAUUCCCUGCCUUUAUGGAAGCUCUUCCAUUGGCCUUGGAAACCCACCCUCCUACCUCUGCCUGGUACUUAACUGUGAAUGUACAUCAGACUUACCUCAGGAACUUAAAAAAAAAAGUAGAAAAGAUCCUAUGGAUAAAAUUGUUUCCCUUUUAAAGAACUCCACUAAGAUUCCAAGAGAAAGCUGGAUUUGAGAACAACCAGUGUGCAAGCCCUUCCUGA